rnacentral:lncRNA from 1 species
AAACAGAUGCUAAAGCCCCCUACACAGAGCCUCAGUGCUUCGAUCUGAUAGACAACAGGUAGGUGGCCAGUCCCCACUGGAGAGCAACCGAGCAGGGCCAAGAGGUUCAAGGUCUGUGUUCCACCUGUGUGCCUGAAGAAGUGUGACGAGACUGUUGGAUACCCUGGGACUUGUGAGCCACCAUGGCCUGAAUUUAGAGGGGGGAUGCCCAUCCCCCACUUUGCCAGGAUCUCAUCAGGAAGACAAGCUCAGCUGCUCAGCGGUUUUGGCUUCUUGCAGGAAGCUGCAGAUGGGGCACACAGUAGACUUCACCUAGGUCAGAAGACUCCACCCUAGGUGAGCUAGCCGACUGUGGCAAACAAGGUCUGAUUCAGCCCGCUCAAGGCUGGGGGAAGGGCACAGUUAGGGUUUCUAUUUCUAUGAUAAAACAUCAUGACAAAAAAGCAAGUUGGGGGUGGGGUGGGGCUGGAGAGAUGGCUCAGCUCCUAGGGUCUGAAACUGGAUGACCAUCUCUCACCCUCCCUGCCCCACUUCAAGCCAAGCUGGGGAAGUUGUAACUGGAAGAUCAUUGGAAGCAACAGGUUUACGUCUGAGCAAGAAGGGUCUGCAUCUCCCACGGCCAACCCAAUGCCAGGCACAGCCAGCUGCCAAUGCUUGAUGAACGGAAGUGUGAAUGAAGACAUGUCUAGGUUGGUCUGUUGCUGUUCUGUUAAACAACUACGGCUCUUAUCAUAGCCCAAAAAGUGGAAAUGACUUGAGAUGCCGGCACUGAGUGAGGGUCAGGAGAGGAUUGCAGUCGCUACAUUAUUACAUUUUUUCCUCUUUAAGCCACUUAAGCG